rnacentral:rRNA from 1 species
GAUCAUGGCUCAGGAUAAACGCUGUCGGCGCACAUAAGACAUGCAAGUCGAACUAACUUAGCCAUUAGUUUACUAUUGGAGCGGUUAGUGGCGGACUGGUGAGUAACACGUAAGCAACCUGCCUAUCAGAGGGGAACAACAGUUAGAAAUGACUGCUAAUACCACAUAUGCCUUGAGUAUCACAUGGUACAAAAGGGAAAGGAGCAAUCCGCUGAUAGAUGGGCUUGCG